AUCAGCGCCGCGGAGCCGCCAAAGUGUCUAGACUGGCAUAUGAUGGGAGGCAGCCAAUGACUCCGCGGCGCUCCUCCGGGGGCCCUCAGUGUGCGUUUGAGGAGAACAAAAAAGAGAGAGCCGAGCGGGGGAGCGAGCGAGGGAGACGAGCCGAGAGAAAGAGCCGCCGGGCGCUGCCUCGCCAGACCUCGCCGGGACCGCGGGGCCACCGGGAGGCACUUUUUGUGGAGGGGGGAGGGGGGCGACCUCUGCAGCCGCAGCGUCCGGGGCGUCCGAGCGCAGCGUGGGGCGGGCUACGACCUCUGCCUCGGUGGAUUGCAUUUUUAAUUAAGGAUUCCCAGCAGCUCUUUGGGAUUUUUACAGUUUCCACUCAUGUGUUGACACCCGCGUUCAGGAGAAAUUCGCUCCAAGUGCAUCUAGCGCCUGGGACCUGAGACGGAGUUGGCUUUUCGUGCAUGCAAUUCCAGGGAUUUUGGUUUUGUUUGGGGUUUCUUUUUCUUUCUUUCCUUUUUUUCUUUUUCUUUCUGCAGGGAGUAAGAAGGAAGCCGAGGGUAUCAACAAGCCUGCCUUUCGGAUCCUGCAGGAAAAGCCCAUGUAGUGAAGUGCUUGGGUUUUAAAGGCAGGGCUUCCCAGACACAUUUGGGGGGUUCGGCGCGAGCGCUUUGUGCUCAUGGACCAGCCGCGUAACUUUUGAAGGCUCUCCGGCCCAUGCGGGGUCUUGCUGGCGGCGCGCAGCCUGCAGUCCCUCUAAAGCGCCGGGGCUGGAGUUGCUGAGCUGCCCGGGCGCCGGGGUCCAUGUAGUCGCGGGCCGAGCGCGGACUGCGGCUCGGCGUGCGCGCGUUCCCCGCCGUCCCGCCCUGGCGAGCUCCCUCAUGUUGCAGCCCUGCGGCGCCCCUUCGACGACAGGCUGUGCGCGGUCUGCACGGCGCCCGGCGGCAGAGCUUCAUGUGGGGCUGCGGCCCGCGCAGCCGGCGCCUCGCUGAGGAAACGGACCCCCGGUAACCGGAGACCGCCUCCCCCCCACCCCCGGCGCCAAAGGAUAUCGUAUGUUCAGGUCCAAACGCUCGGGGCUGGUGCGGCGACUUUGGCGAAGUCGUGUGGUCCCCGACCGGGAGGAAGGCAGCGGCGGCGGCGGCGGCGGCGGCGGCGAGGAUGGGAGCGUGGGCAGCCGAGCUGAGCCGGCCCCGCGGGCACGAGAAGGCGGAGGCUGCGGCCGCCCCGAAGUCCGCCCGGUAGCCCUGAGGCGGCCCCGGGACGCGGUGGGACAGCGAGGCGCCCAGGGCGCUGGGAGGCGCCGGCGCGCAGGGGGCCCCCCGAGGCCCAUGUCGGAGCCGGGGGCCGGCUCUGGGGGCUCCCCGCUUCACGUGGCGGAGCCGGGAGGCCGGGGCUGGCUGCCCGAAAGUGACUGCGAGACGGUGACCUGCUGUCUCUUCUCGGAGCGGGACGCCGCCGGCGCGCCCCGGGACGCCGGCGACCCCCUGGCCGGGGCUGCCCUGGAGCCGGCGGGCGGCGGGCGGAGUCGCGAAGCUCGCUCGCGGCUGCUGCUGCUCGAGCAGGAGCUCAAGACGGUCACGUACUCGCUGCUGAAGCGGCUCAAGGAGCGCUCGCUGGACACGCUGCUGGAGGCGGUGGAGUCCCGCGGCGGCGUGCCGGGCGGCUGCGUGCUGGUGCCGCGCGCCGACCUCCGCCUGGGCGGCCAGCCCGCGCCGCCGCAGCUGCUGCUCGGCCGCCUCUUCCGCUGGCCCGACCUGCAGCACGCCGUGGAGCUCAAGCCCCUGUGCGGCUGCCACAGCUUCGCCGCCGCCGCCGACGGCCCCACCGUGUGCUGCAAUCCCUACCACUUCAGCCGGCUCUGCGGGCCAGAAUCACCGCCACCCCCCUACUCUCGGCUGUCUCCUCGCGACGAGUACAAGCCACUGGAUCUGUCUGAUUCCACAUUGUCUUACACUGAAACGGAGGCCACCAACUCCCUCAUCACGGCUCCAGGUGAAUUCUCAGAGAAGACCUCCUGGCUACUGUUCCUGGGAAACCCCACACUGACGAACAAGGCUCCUAUCCCUCCGGAUGCCCCACAGACCCGCCCUUCUCAGCCCAACAGUGGGUUUGGCAAAGAGAGGACAUUUCCUUGGAAGAACAGAAGACCAUGUCCUGCAGUUGCUUCCAGGGUUGCCAUGGAAGUCUGCAGAGAACUUCUCAUUAAGCAAGAAAAAAGCAGCAGCAGCAACAGGAGGAAAGCAUUUCCCGGAAUCUGGGAGGAAGCGUGAGUCACUGGGACUGCUAAGUGAGCCCUGCGUGGCCACUGCAGCGCCUGCCCAGGAGGCCUGGAGCGUAGGGCCAGCCAUCAGGACUGUGCCAGGCCUGCCCGCAUAGACACGCCUGCUGCCCUGGCUGACGCAGGCUCCAGGAAUGCAAACAAAGCCGGGUGGAGGGGCCUUCUGAGGGCCGGGGCGCUGGGCCAGGCAGGAGGGAAUGGGCCUGGAGGAGAGGCCUGCAGAGGGGCCUUGGGCCUCAGAUGAGCCCCUCUCUGGUGUCCUUGGAGCCCAGGCUGCCGGGAGAGCUCCUACCUCUCGGCGUGACCUGCCCUGGCACUGCCAGCUCUGGCCUGGCCUCUAGGCUUCCCGUCAUGGGGCAGGGGCAGGAGUUCCCCUAGAUCAGAGGGUCUCAAAAUUGGCUCCUGGAUCAGCAUCACCUGGGGACUGGUCAGAAAUGAAGGUUCGGGGCUUCCCUGGUGGCGCAGUGGUUAAGAGUACGCCUGCCAAUGCAGGGGACACGGGUUCGAGCCCUGGUCCGGGAAGAUCCCGCAUGCCGCGGAGCAACUAAGCCCGUGCGCCACUACUGAGCCUGCGCUCUAGAGCCCAUGAGCCACAGCUACUGAAGCCCACGCACCUAGAGCCUGUGCUCUGCAACAAGAGAAGCCACCGCAAUGAGAAUUCCGCACACCACCACGAAGAGUAGCCCCGGCUCGCAGCAACUGGAGAAAGCCCGCAUGCAGCAAUGAAGACCCAACACAGCCAAAAAUAAAUAAACAAAAAUUUUUUUUUUAAAAAAAGAGAAAGAAAUGCAGGUUCUCAGGCCCCCCAGCCCUACUAAAUCAGAAACUCUUGGGGGUGGAGUCCGGAGAUCUGUGGUUUAACAAGCCCUCCAGGUGAUUCUGAUGCACACUCAAGUUUGAGGACCGCUGCACUUCAUUAUCGAGGCCCGGGGGCUGUUGACAGCCGUGCUUUCUACUACUGGCUGCAGAGGUGGACGGAGCCAUAGGCUGUGAGGAGGAUGAAGAGACAGCAGAGAGCAGCAAGGUUACAAAAGGACCACGCCUUUCAUCUGGGGCAUGCUUUUGCUCUCUCUGAGGGAAGCCAGCUGCCAAGUUGUGAGCUGCCCAACAGAGAGGCCCAUGCAGCAGGGCUCCGGCCAACAGCCAGUGGGACCAGCGAGGCCAGCAAGGAACUGAGGUCUGCAGUCCAGCAACCCACGAGGCACCAAAUCCUGCCAAUAAGCACCCCCGCGGAGGGGAAAACAGAAAUUCCUGGUGGAUGACACAGGCCCGGCGGCCGCCUGAGAGCCGAGCACGGGACCGG